rnacentral:rRNA from 1 species
GGAAUAUUGCACAAUGGGGGAAACCCCGCUGCAGCAACGCCGCGUGAAGGGAGACGGUUUUUGUAUUGUAAACUUCUUUUCUUAGUGAAGAAGAAAGUGACGGUAGCUAAGGAAUAAGCAUCGGCUAACAACGUGCCAGCAGCCGCGGUAAUACGUAGGAUGCGAGCGUUAUCCGGAAUUACUGGGUGUAAAGGGAGCGCAGGCGGGACGGCAAGUUGGAUGUGAAAUGCCGCAGCUUAACUGCGGAGCUGCAUCCAAAACUGUAGUUCUUGAGUGGAGUAGAGGCAAGCGGAAUUCCGAGUGUAGCGGUGAAAUGCGUAGAUAUUCGGAGGAACACCAGUGGCGAAGGCGGCUUGCUGGGCUCUAACUGACGCUGAGGCUCGAAAGUGUGGGGAGCAAAC